AUUGAACGCUGGCGGCAUGCCUUACACAUGCAAGUCGAACGGUAACAGGUCGUCGGAUGCUGACGAGUGGCGAACGGGUGAGUAAUGCAUCGGAACGUGCCCAGUAGUGGGGGAUAGCCCGGCGAAAGCCGGAUUAAUACCGCAUACGACCUGAGGGUGAAAGGGGGGGAUCGCAAGACCUCUCGCUAUUGGAGCGGCCGAUGUCAGAUUAGCUAGUUGGUGGGGUAAAGGCCUACCAAGGCAACGAUCUGUAGUUGGUCUGAGAGGACGACCAGCCACGCUGGGACGGAGACACGGCCCAGACUCCUACGGGAGGCAGCAGUGGGGGAUUUUGGACAAUGGACGCAAGUCUGAUCCAGCCAUGCCGCGUGCGGGAAGAAGGCCUUCGGGUUGUAAACCGCUUUUGUCAGGGAAGAAACGCUCUGGGUUAAUACCUCGGGGUAAUGACGGUACCUGAAGAAUAAGCACCGGCUAACUACGUGCCAGCCGCCGCAGUAAAAC
rnacentral:rRNA from 1 species